rnacentral:rRNA from 1 species
AAAUUGAAGAGUUUGAUCAUGGCUCAGAUUGAACGCUGGCGGCAGGCCUAACACAUGCAAGUCGAACGGUAGCACAGAGAGCUUGCUCUCGGGUGACGAGUGGCGGACGGGUGAGUAAUGUCUGGGAAACUGCCUGAUGGAGGGGGAUAACUACUGGAAACGGUGGCUAAUACCGCAUAAUG